rnacentral:lncRNA from 1 species
AUGGCUUUUAGGCCUCUUAGGCUAUCGAAACAAAUUAUCUUUCAAAAUACUUUCAAAAGCCAAUCUAUGGGAUAGCUUUAUAUAUGCAUUAAAUCCCUUUUUACCACAAUACCCUAUUGGGUUAAAAUGCAAAUACUCAAAAGCAAGAUCAAAGCCCAAAAUCAGAUAAAAGCAUUUUUUGCAAAAGGGUUUUCUGGGCAAACUUUAGGGUUUUGAAAGUGAUCAAAUGCGAGGGUGACAUGAUGCUUAUGAUAUGCAAUGCAUAUGAAGAAUUUUGAAAAUUGGGAUGUUACAGUUUCAGCAUCAUUUUUCCCCUCAAAGAAAGGUACACACAAUUUAAUUGUAUUAGAAGGAGUGUUUUGUACCGUUGCCGUGGCAUUAUCAACAAGAGACAUGGAGGAUGGCCGGGGUGAAAAGCACUCAUCACGGUCACGGAAUAGCAUCGGUCUAGUUGCCAAGCUUCGUGUAAGUCCUGUCAUGGUUAGUAGAAAACAAGAAACAAAUCACAGUAAUAUGUUCCUAUCAACUACUAGGAUGUGGCUACAAGUCGCUCGACUCUCAAGCUAAAAAUCAAGUUCUUACGAGUUCUUACCAUGCAAAACAGGAAGGUGAUGGCCAGCGGCGUGACCAAGCCCUCCGAAUAUUAAAUGUAUCGAUGCCUCGGUAACAAACCAACCUAGGUGUAGAAUCUGUGGAGCUUGGAGGCUUUUGUGAGUAGCAAGGAAUAGCAAAUAAUCAAAUCAGCAAUGCAAAGUUGAAAAUAUGCUCAAUAAUGCUAGUCCUAGCUGCUGGAGUCGAUAAGAACGAAUUACAGAAAUAAUCUAAGCCUAGAUACUGAAGAAGGUAGGAUAGAAAGAUGGCACAACAAGUAAAUCCCUGGGAUUUUUUUUCUUUUUUUUUCUUUUUGUGGCCUUCUGUUUGGCUUCUUAUUCUUUUCUUCUUCUUUUUUUUCUUUUUUUUCUUUUUUAACCCCAGAAACUCACGCAAAAGAAGGACCGGAAAACUGUACGUCGGUCUGUCGAAGAACAGCAAAGGCUGCAGUAAGAAAAAAUCAGAAAAAUAUGGAAAAAUAUGGGUUAGAAGGGUAUCGACACAAGCUUUCCAGCAAGGGCAAGAUCACUCAAAACGGAUAUCGAACGGUGGAGAAAACUGAGAAACACCGGGCUGCAGCGACGUCGGAAAACGGAUGCAGAAACUUGGAAGCUCCGAAAGUCCACCUUACAAACCGAAUUUGAGGGUCAAAGUGCAGGGCAACGCUCUGGAUAUUUCCUGAUGCGUCUCGUCGUGAGCUUUCCAAAAAGUCCAAGAACGUCCAAAUCCGAGUUGGUACGCAAAAGAUACGCCCGUUUACUGAACACGGGUCAAACCCACCCGAAACUAAAAUUCUACUCGGACUCGGGUCCGAAACUGACUCGAACUCUUGUAUGGAUGAUACGGGUGCGGGUGGCCCGAUCUGUCGAUGAGAUUGAUAACUCUCGAUUUGGGUAGGAGGUGACGUUGACGAUCCGACUACGGCCUAGGAGGCAGCGCCUUAGCAAUCGAUACACCAACUCCAGAGGGUUAUUGAUCACGCGAGGGCACGAUCAACCUGACCACAAAGGUCUUUGUUCCUGCAAGCAAUCGAAGAACAAGCAAGAACAAGAUAAAUAGCGGAUGCAAUCUAAAAUUGCGAAUAUACUAUAUCAAACCAAUGUCUCAACGAGACGAUAAGUUGGGGUUCCGAAAGCGGUAAAACAGGUGGUCUAACCGACACACGCGAUCACACGAAGUAGUAGCGAUGGCUAACUUUUAACUAAACAAAACCCAAGGCUCCUUAGGGGGGCUCAUGGGGUAUAUAUAGGAGGAGGGAGAGAUAUUUUCGU